UUAACGUGCUCCAGGACAUUACGUGCUCUAGUUCUUUCACGCUACCUUUUGGUUUCAUUUAUGUAAAUAUUUAAUAAUUACUUUAUUGUCUUUCUUUUUUGUUAUAGGCUUUUAAAAUUUAAAAAUUGUCUUUGGGGGCGCUCGCAGCACGCAUGUGCUUACCUUGGGGAAAAUUUAAAUGCUCGUCCUUUCACGAUUACUGCUUUCGGGGUUCGCGUGACGUGAGGUAAUUGCCGCAAGAACAAGAAUAUUGGAAUCCGCUGGCUGUUUUCUUUUUUGGGGUUGCCUGGAGUGGAUAUUUGGCAAUGCUUGGUGUCGGAUCCGGCGAACAUCGUGGUUCUGGUUUCCUGAGGGUGAUCGUGGUGGAUUCUGCAGGAUGUUGUUCUUCUGUUAUGGGUAAUGGAUGUCGCUAUAUUUGGUUGUUGCGUUUUGGAUGAGUUUUGCAUUGUUCUUUCGUGUGAUUAAGCUUGUUCUUUAAAAAAGUUUAUUUUUUAUUGACUAUCUAUUAAGUGUUUUUUAUUA